rnacentral:tRNA from 1 species
UGUAGGCCAGGUUGGCCUGGGCCAGGGCGUAGGCCUGCCGGGCCUGGGUUAGGUCCAGGAUCAGGGUGGUGGGGUCCUGUUCCUUGGCCUUCAA